AAAUUUUUUUUAUCUGAUUUUUGUUUUGAAAGGCUGUGAUUGAAUCCUGUUGUAGAAUCCUACCGAAAAUGAGGAUUCAAUCAGAAUUCUCAUUGGAUUCAAAGAUUGAAUCCCCGUCCAAAAAGGAAUAGGGAUUGAUCAGAAACUCUUCUGAUCAAUCCCUAUAAAAGGGACUCUCUGGAACAGAAGCAGGGGGACAAAAAAAACAGUGAGUAAAAGCUACUGAUUUAAGAGAAAAUGAGAGUGUAGAAAAUUUUUGAAGGCUAAGAAAAGGUUUAGAAGUGUUCUGGGAAUUAACAGAAAUUUUUUAGCGAUUUUUGGAGAUUUUUUUCUGGGAAUUUCUGGAAAAAUUUCAGAUUCCGGUUGAAUUUUUCGAUGAAAGUUACAUUUUUCGACGACGAUUUUGGCCAACUUUGAAGUUUUCGGUGAGCUGCCCAGUUUUUGACGAAAGAUCCCAGAAAUCAACUAACUUUUCGGUGAACUUCAGGCGAAAAACUCAGAUUCUGACGAAAAAAUCUAGAAUCCGGUGAGCAUUCAACCGGAGUUCUUCGACCUUUUAGAGAGAAGAGAGAGAGAGGGAAGAAGGUUUUUGUCGAAAAACAGAGAAAAGAGCCUUAUAUACCCUUCGAAAACGAUGUCGUUUUUGCCUUAACUGACCUAGAGGAUGCGUUCGUUUUAUCAAGAUCCGACCCGAGCAUCGACCCACUUCCUGACCCGCGCCUGUCUCUCCUUUUCGAGCCGAGGUCCCAAGCUACUUCUCCGAGCCGUUUUCUCUUCCUUGAGCCAAGCCGUACUCCGAGUCGUUCCAGGUUUUUUUUUUUUUGAAUUUAUUUAUUUAUUUGUUUAUUUGUUUUAUUUAUUUAUUUAUUUUAUUUAUUAGAUUAAGUUUAUUUAAUAUUCUUUUUAUCUUUAUUUUAUUUUUAUUUUUGUUUUACUUUUUUUUAUUUUAUUUUAUUUUAUUUUUAUUUAUUUUCACUUUUAUUUUGUUUUAUUAUUCUAUUUUCUUUAAAUAAAAAUAAAAAAUAUAUAUUUUUGGGGAAAAGUUGAAAGUAUCAAUUUUUCUUAAAAAUAAAUUUUCAAAAAAAAAAGUUUUUGAGGAAAAGUUGAAAGUAUUAAUUUUUCUUGAAAAUCAAAGUUUCCAAAGAAUAUUUUUUGGUAAAAGUUAAAAGUAUCAAUUUUUCUUAAAAAUAAAUUUUCAAAAAAAGGGUUUUUGAGGAAAAGUUGAAAGUAUCAAUUUUCCUUAAAAAUAAAUUUUCAAAAAAUCAACUUUUGAGGAAAAGUUGAAAGUAUCAAUUUUCCCUGCACAAAAAAAAAACAAUCAUUCUUUUAUUCCUUUUUAUUUUUUUUAUGUUAAAUAAUCCGACGACGAAGCCUCUGCAAGUGAAACAAUAGUUUUUCUUGCAUAAUCUAGAGGUGAGGAAAUUUUCUCAAUUUUUUGCUAAAAGUAUUAGAGUCAAUUGAGAAUAAUUUCCAAUAAUUAAUUACUCGGUAAAAUUUUAAGGCUCAUUGGAUAACACAAAUUUAAGCUGGUACCAUCUUUUGAUGGGUGUUGUGAAGAUGCUAUAACCUUCCUCACAUGUAACCGAACUCCCGAACCCUGUUUUGGUUAGAAGACCUGAACCUAUUCUUUUAGGGACCCUUGAACUUAGGUGUUCUCUAAAAGGACAGAUUCUUUAGGUGACCAAUCGCACCUAGAUAAAAAAAAUUGAUGGCGACUCCCUAAAAGUCAAUGUCUAACGAUAGAUCCCCGGAUCUAGAUAUUAUGACAGCUUGACGACUCCACUGGAGAAUUUGAGAGUCAGGCCAGCAAAUAAUUUGUGUUAUCCAAAAGCCUAAUAAAAUUGAACCUUAUUGCAUAUAUGUGUUAUUAUUCAUUCAUGUUUAUUUACCUUGUUAAUUAUGUCAUUCAUAUACAUGUGCAUAACAUGAGCUUUACACCCGAGCUUCGUCCUUUUAGGAGGGAGUAAAGUACCUAUUGCUUUCGUGAGGUCUAAUGCCUCCGCAGUGACUAGCGAAAUACUCCCACUUAAUUGAACAUUUUCCACUUGUAGCCUGUAAUGGGUGAGGAUUAGGGUACCUUACUAGUCUGUGAUGGACAAGGAUGUAAGGAACAAUUUGAGGACUUUUAGACUUUGACCUUAAAACCACAUAUAGUGAACCUUAAGAGUGUCUAAACCUAGGAUAGAGCCUUUCUACCUAAUGAUAGAUAUACCCUAAAAUUAAGACACAAAAAUGGUGUUUAUCUAAUCAUUUUAAUUGUUUAACUUUGUGUAUCAUUUUCAUUAUCAUAUGUAACAUUAUGCAUCAGCAUCACUUUCAUUUCAUCCAUGAAACUAACUAUGUUAUUUGUCUGAUUGUAUGCAUCUGCAUUAUUUCAUGAUCAUGUUUUAACACAAUCAUUUGCAUUCAUUUCAUACUAGAUUUCAUUCAAGAAAAUGUACAUUUCAUUCGUGCAUCAAAGUAUCAUGCAUAAAGCAUAGCAUAACAUUUCUAAUCAUAAGUAUGGUACUCAAGGUUCAAGGAUAGCUCCAUCUAGCGAGAACCAUGCCCAUCGAUACAACAUAAGAUCCAGAGCAAGACCAAUAGAGCAAAACAAUUCUCAUAGAUUUGAAAAGAUAGAAAAAGCACAGGAAAAGAUUGAAAGUGAGCUGAGCAAGAUUCUGGAGGCUCGUAAUAAGCUGAAUAAGGGAAAAAAGGUUGAAGAAGAUACAAGCCAACAAGUUCCCCCGCUACAAGAAGUGGUUAACCUUUUAUAUCUUCCAGGCUUUGGCCCACCUCAAGCCUGGUCUGCUCAAGAGGUUCCGUCACAACACUUCACAUAUCCAACAUAUCCUGGAAUGCCAUCAGCUCCAACCCAGGACAGUAUAAUAGCUAUGUAAAUUUUAUCUUCACUGAAAAGACAACAAAACCAAUUCCUGAUCUAGAUGAUUUAAAAAAGAAAGAGAAAGAAAAGAUAAGAGUGAAAGUUCAGGAAAGCUCUAAGAUUAGUAUGCUAGAGCAAAGGUUACGGGCUGUGGAAGGAUUUAGCUUUUAUGGGUCAGUUGAUGCUGCUGGGCUCUGCCUAGUCUCUGAUGUGGUUAUUCCUCAUAAGUUUAAAGUACCAAAAUUUGAAAAAUAUGAUGGUACAAAGUACCCCAAAACUCACAUCACAAUGUAUUACCAGAAGAUGGCAGCUCAUACUCAUGAUGAAAAACUCUUGAUGCAUGUCUUUCAGGAUAACCUUACAGCCUCAGCGGCCAGGUGGUAUGUUCAGCUGGACAGAACCCGCAUUCGUUCUUGGAGCGAUAUGACACAUGACUUUAUCGAUCGGUAUCGACAUAUUAUUGAUUUGGCCCCUGAUCGUUUGUCUUUACAAAAUCUGGAGAAAAAGGCAAACGAGUCUUUUAAAGAGUAUGCCCAGAGGUGAAGGGAUGUUACUUCUCAAGUACAACCUUCUUUAAUUGAGAAAAAAACUACAGUGUUAUUUGUCAGCAUUUUGAAGUCUCCCUAUUAUGAAAAGAUGAUAGGGAAUGCAACAAAGAAUUUCACUGACAUGGUAAUCUCUGGAGAAAUUAUUGAAAGUGCCAUAAAAAAUGGCAAGUUGAAAGGAGGAGAAACCAAGAAGGAAUCAGAAAAGAAAGAAGCUGAAGCUUAAGCUGUGAGCUUUGAUAAACAACAAUUCAGGGGUUAUCAAUCCUAUCCAUCCCAAGGUUACUCUCCAUACUAUCCUGCUGUGAAUAAUACCUCAUCCUACCUAUACUAGCUAGCUCCACAACCACCUUAUUCAUCCACAUACCGAUCAAUUUUUAGCCCUCCAAAUCUUACAUAUAGCCUUAACAUUCAAGCUCCUGUAAGAACUCAAAUUUGCCUUAUUAACCCAGCAAGUGGUUCACGAGAAUAACGGACUACUCGAGAAAAACCUGUAUUUGAUCCAAUCCUUAUGACUUAUAUAGAGUUAUAUCAAGAAUUCUAUAAUAGCCAUUUGAUUGCCCCCAGCCAUGUGGAGCCGCUUAAACCAUCAUAUCCAAAGUGGUAUGAUCCUACAGCCUACUGCGACUACCAUUAUGAAAUUACUGGCCAUUCUACUAAAAAUUAUACUGCUUUAAAGCAUAAGGUGCAACCAUUGAUCAAUGAUGGAAUGGUAAGUUUUGAUCAAGGGAAAGCAACAACACCUAAUGUUAGCGUUCUGAGUGAAAGUCAAGAACAGAAAGGGUCCGGAGAGUCACAAUGAAUUGAGGGACAAGAUGUUAAUAGAGAUUCUUCACCUGAUCGCAUAAGGGGAUAAUUUUUAAGAAUGGAGAUAAGGUUGGUUGAAGGUUUUUUUUUGUCAUUUUAAGAUUUUUUUUUUAGUAAUGUUAGAUUUCUUUUUUGCAAUAUGACUUCACUUGUUAACAUCUUAAUAAAGGCAAGUUAAUGCAUUUCAUUACAUUUUUUUCUUUUACUUGACCAUUACUCCCUGUUCUGUUACUUUUCAUAACUUUAUACUCUCAUUCUCAAAUUUCAGAUGAUGAAUAUUUAGACAAUGAUAACAAUAAUUUUGAGAUUUAAUUUUAAGAACUCAUCCACAUUAUUAUGAGGAGAUGAUUUGAGCAAAAAAAAAAAGGGUAAGCCAUUACCAGAGGUGAAAGAGAUAUGUCUUGAAGAUACAAUCUUUUAUAAAGGAUCAUGAGCUUUGUUCAAUAGAUGAUGUUCAAGAAAAGUAUUCACAAUUGAGAUGAAAAAUGGUCAUCUUUCUUUUACCAUUCGAAAAAUCAUUUAUUGUUACCCCUUUGAGCCUAUUAUGAUUUAUUUUUCGGAGGAACCCCAACCAAGGAUCACCUUCUACACUAGGGGGAAAUUUUUGAAAAAAUCACAAAAGGUUUCAAAAAAAAAAAAAAAAAAUGCCACACAUGACUUGGGGCAAAGUAAUGAGAAUCCUUUGUGUGAGGAAAGAAAAAGUAGUGAAACGAUGUGGGGAAAAAUGCCAAGUUGUAUCAAAUGAUCCUUUGGUUUUGAACCUUUUUAAUACAUGUUUUGAGCCUAUUAUAUCCAUUUUUUUAUGACCCUUCACCUUGGCCUACAUUACAACCUUGAAAAGUCCAUUUGGAUCAAGUGUGAAUACUCAACUUGAAUGAUCACAUGUUGAGCAAAGGUAUGCUCAUGAUGAAGCAAUGGAAUCAUGCUACAUUGCUCUAAAGUUUGAUGUAUGAAAGAUAUCAACAAUGGAUGAAAAAUGAGAAAAAAGAAAAAAAAUGAUGAAAAAAAAAGAAAAAAAGAAAAAAAAAAGAAAGAAGAAAAAAUGAGAAAAUGAAAAAAGAGAUUCAAAUUGAAAACCUGAAAGGGUGAUUUUGGUAGAAAAAAAAGAUCCAGGUCAAAUGGCUCGCAUGAAUGAAAGAUCAAAGACAUCUGAAGAUCUCUCAAAGAUUGGGGUAAAGUUUGCCAAGUCAAGAUGAUUUCAACAGUAAAUGGAAUGAGUUUUUAAGAAAGAAUCCUAGAUUAAUGUUGAGAAUUGUCUGAAUAUUCAUUAUUUGGAUAUACCAUUCAUCCCAAUGACAUGUAUCCAAUUUAUUUCCUUUCCCAUUUGUUUUGUACAAAAUAGUUCUUCAUUGAUUAUCUUUACCAUAAUUCACCUUGUGUUAUCUUAUUGUUACACCCCUAGAAUGAAUUGAGAAAAUGCUUGAUUGCAUUAUAUUUGUCAAGAUUUGAAAUGAUAAUGAAUGAAUGAAUAUGUGCUUAAAAGAGUCUUGCAUUCAUUUGAAAAGAAAUCUAAGAUGAUGGUGGUAACAAAAUGAAGAAAUGGUAGAAACCUAAAAGAGAUGAUUUGGAAGGAUAUAUGAUGUGACCAAAUGGAGAAUAUGAUGGGGCAAAUCUUGAAAAAUGGUAUAACCAAGUGAUGAGUACAAGGAUGAAUUGGUCGAUAUGACUUGCAAGUUGUGAUUGAAUGAUGAAAACAAUCAGUGGACAAAGUUUGUUUUGGAAUGGUUAAACACCUAUGAGUAAUGACCCAGUAAUGGUGGAUGAAACUUGUUUUGAUAUUUGUUAAUGCUGAGAAGUCCAUUGAAUGAUGGUCAAGUGAUGAUCGAUUGAUGAAACUUAUUCCAAAGUAUUGAGAAAUCGAACAAGGGAAAAUGUGAGAUGGUAGGGUCUUGAGGAUUAUAUUCCACAAUUAUUUAGGAUUUCAUGACAUUAUUGACAUUCGCAUUAGAUGCAUCAUGGUGGCAUUGUCGCUUGAAUAGUACAUGCACAUAAUUUGAUGAAUUAAAUGAUUAGGACAUUGAAUUUGGGAAGAGAUUUCUUACAGGAAGAAUGUGAGUGAAAAAGACAAUUGAGAGCUACAUUGGUUCGAUCUUAGGAGAGCAGUGUAAUUGAAUCUUUGAAGAAUCAAAAGGCUUGACGCCUAAGAAAAAAAAAGCUUGAGAAACUUGAGUACCAUACAUUGAAUAGGAAUUAAUUGGCCAACAUUUGCAUAGCAUUCAUUGAAAUUUAUAUGCAUUGCAUAGCAUACACUACUUUCAGGAAAGUAUAGUGUAUAAAUUCAAGAAGCAGGGGUGUUCCAAGAUCUCACAUAGAGAAGAUAGAUGUGAAGACAUUUUCAAAAUUGAAAAAAAAAAAGGCUUGUCAGGUAAGUUUUAAUCCUUGAAAUAGGAUGUCUUUUGGACAUGAUUGUCAAGGAGCAAUUUACUUUCAAAAGUCGUGGUGCCUCUGUUUAGAGGAGUAAUUUACUUUUCAAAGUCGUGGUGCCUCUGUUUAAAUGAGUAAUUUACUUUUCCAAAGUUGUGGUGCCUCUGUUUAGAGGAGCAAUUUACUUUCUAAAGUCAUGGUGCCUCUGUUUAGAGGAGCAAUUUACUUUUCAAAGUUGUGGUGCCUUUGUUUAGAGGAGCAAUUUAUUUUCCAAAGUCAUUGAGCCUCUGAUUAGAGGAGCCAUUUAUGUUUCUCAAAGUCGUUGAGCCUCUGCUUAGAGGAGCUUUGGUAAAAAAAAACCAAAAAAACAAAAAAAAAAAACAAAAAAAAAUUAAAAAAAUGAAAAUUUUGAGUUGAGUCUUGAUUGGGUGUCUAUGUCUUUGUGCAAUUUCUGUUUCACAGAAAAUGUGCAAAGAGGGGCAGCUGUAGACACCCAAUUUGGUCCAGGCCCGGAUCAAUUGGGCUUGGUCUAAAUGGGUACGCCCAAUUUUGUUUUAUAUUUUAUGUAUAUAUUUUCCUUUAUAUCCUGUGUAGUUAUUAUUUGUUUAUUAUUACUAUUUAUUAAUAUAUAUAUAUUUAUUUUAUUUUUUUUCUUUUUCCUUUUAUUUUAUAUGUAUUUUUAUUUAUCUAAUUAUAUAUUUAUUUAUCUGUUAUUAUUAUUUUUUUAUUUAUCUUAUAAUAUUAUUGUUGAUUUAUCUUGUUAUUAUUUUUUUAAUUAUCUAUUAAAUUUUUUUAUCUGAUUUUUAUUUUGGAAGGCUGUGAUUGAAUCCUGUUGUAGAAUCCUACCAAAAAAGAGGAUUCAAUUAGGAUUCGAAGAUUGAAUCCUCGUCCAAAAAGGAAUAGAGAUUGAUAAGAAACUCUUCUGAUCAAUCCCUAUAAAAGGGACUCUCUGGAACAGAAGCGGGGGGGACAGAAAAAUAGUGAGCAAAAGCUACUGAUUUGAGAGAAAAAAUGGGGUGUAAAAAAUUUUUGAAGGCUAAGAAAAGGUUUAGAAGUGUUCUGGGAAUUAGCAAAAAUUUUUUGGAGAUUUUUUUCUGGGAAUUUCUGGAAAAAUUUCAGAUUCUGGUUGAAUUUUUCGAUGAAAGUUGCAUUUUUCGGUGACGAUUCCGACCAACUUUGAAGUUUCUGGCGAACUACCCAGUUUUCGACGAAGGAUCCCAGAAAUCGACCAACUUUUCGGUGAACUUCCGACGAAAAACCCAGAUUCCUACGAAAAAAUCCAGAAUCCAAUGAACAUUCAACCGGAAUUCUUCGACCUUUUAGAGAGAAGCGAGAGGAAAAAAGAAAAAGAGAGAGAGAAGGGAGAAGGUUUCUGCCAAAAAACAGAGGGAAGAGCCUUAUAUACCCUCCCAAAACGAUGUUGUUUUUGCCUUAAGUGACCUAGAGGAUCCGCGCGUUUUACCGAGAUCCGACCCGACCCGAGCUCGACCCGCUUCCUAACCUGCUCGUGUCCCCCCCUCAGAGUCGAUAGCCGAGCCGAGCCGAGGUCUCAAGCCGCUUCUCCAAGUUGAGGUCUCAAGCCGCUUCUCCGAGCCGUUUUUCUUCCUUGAGUCGAGCUGAGCCGAGCCUACUCCGAGCUGCUCCAGGUUUUUUUUUUUGAAUUUAUUUAUUUAUUUGUUUAUUUGUUUUUAUUUGUUUUAUUUAUU
rnacentral:lncRNA from 1 species